UUUCUGAUUUGUAUAGUGAGAACAACAGUAUUUUUUACGACACUCAUGUCUUUUGCAGGGGUGGUAUUGGUUGUUAGAGUUGAAUGCUGAAAAAAUACCUCACUGCUUGCUGAAAUUAUAGCUGGAAUUUACUUGAAUUUUAUUAUACACGGAUUGUGCACUUGGCUGCCAUUUGCUUCCUUCAGACUCCCAAAGAAAGUCAAGUCUUCAACCAAAAUAUUGAUCUUAAGUGGGCGCUGUGUCCAGAUGUCGGCAGAGCUGGGGAGAAAAGCUGAGAGGAAAGAAAGAGCUGGAGAGGUUCUUGACAGACUGGUCCUGAUUAAACUGAUGAAUAACAGAACCACCCAGAGCCACAUGAAUAAGUGGUGA
rnacentral:lncRNA from 1 species